rnacentral:lncRNA from 1 species
CAGAUUUUGCUAAUGAUGGUGGAGUCUUGGGCUCGCUUGCAUUUCUGGCACCCAGCAAUUCCUUCCCAGGUGGUGCUUGCUCCAGGCUCUUGCUCCAGCAACUCAGUACAGUAGGGUAACAGCACCUGAGAAGCUCUUUGCUGCCCCCUACUGGCACUCAUAAACCACCGGUGAGAACCAUGAAGGUGGAUCUGUGAACGGUUGUUCGGCGGGACUCCCGUGACUUCAGACAUGGUUUCUGUGGAUUUUAUACAGAGCUCCUGUUGUGAACGCUGUGUAUCCACAGCAUUAAUGGCUCUUCAUCAUUAAAGGGUCAGCAUGCAAGGGUGUAUUUCACCAGCUGCCGGGAGGCGGGUGGCUAACAGUUCUCCACCCUUAGCCCCUUUUGGGACCGCCUCCGCUGAAGAGAGCUACCUGGCUGUGCGUCUUAUCUCCCACCUUCCAGGGCGACUCAACCCAGUGGUUGCUCAAGGAGCUGUAUAGAGCUCCGGCUCCCUCCUUUCAACUCAGGCCAAUUCUGAAGGGUGGCCUCAGCUUCAGAGCUUCCAUUAAUCGCCACUGAGGCCUUGCCGUGACUUACAGCCUGACCUGCGUCCUAUCCUCGCCCUAGGUGAUGGCCCUGAGAACUCUCGCCGGUGCAGGAAAGAACAGAAAGCAACAUUAAGAAACAGAUGUAUACUCACCAGCGAGUUCUCUUAAACUGGAACAUCUUGCCAUAUUAGCUACAAAGGAGUUUAAAGAAAUGAAACGUUGUAGAUAGAGUUGAAGCCUGCAUUGUAACAACAGUAACAACAGAUAACCAUGAAUCCCUUGAGAUGUGCUGGACACUUCACAAAUAUUGAUCAGCUCAUUCAAUCCCUGCAACUGUUUGAGUUGGUACAAAGAAUAUUCUUGUCUCCUUAUAAACAUUUGUAAGUGUUUCCACCAUGCAGUGUUUCUCAACAGUAGCUGUACACUAAGGAAGAAUUUAAAAAUGAACAUACCUGCAGGCACCACACCUGGACAAUCUAAUUUCAUUAAUCUGUUUUUUGUUUGGUUUGGUCUGGUUUAAUUUCUAGCUUGCCUGGCAAUUCUAACGUGCAUUCAGGUUUCAGAACCAUUACCUCAAGCAAUGUAAUUCCACAUGGAAUUACAGGAUCUUCACAUUUCAUCUAUAUGACAAAAUUGCCCUUUAAUGGACCAGUUCAUACCACUAUCAAUGGUAUGUGAGGACCUGUACUUAUUGCCUCCCUUUUGGUUCUUGAUGUUGUAAUUCAUGCUCAUGCUCUUACUUUCUCUGAUUGGAACUGCUAGAAAAUUGCUCAUUUUAUUAAUAUUUCCAAAGAAUAACUUUUGGCUUUGAUUUUCCACUGUUGUACAAUUUUUCCUUUUUCAUUGAUUUUGGUUCUUUAUUUUUUCAUUUCCUCUUCUAUGCUUCCUUUUUUUUUUUUUUGAGAUGGAGUCUCACUCUGCCUCCCAGGCUGGAGUGCUGUUAUGCGAUUUUAGCUCACUGCAACCUCUGCCUUCUGGGUUCAAGUGAUUCUCCUGCCUCAGCCUCCUGAGUAGCUGGGACUGCACACUUGUGAACAUGGUCUCUGAGCCUCAUAUUGCUUUACUUGUGAGAUAUAUAUAUAUAUAUAUAUAUUUUUUUUUUUUUUUUUUUUUUUAGUAGAGACAGGGUUUCACCAUAUUGGCCAGGCUGGUCUUGAACUCCUGACCUCAAGUCAUCCGCCCAUCUCAGCCUCCCAAAGUGCUGGGAUUACAGGCAUUAGUUACCAUGCCUGGCCUAUGCUUCCUUUUGUUUUCCAUUUUUCUAGCUUUUCUUUUUUUUUUUUUUUGAGAAGAAUUAGAUAAAUUUUUUUUAAGUUUUCUCCCUUUCUAAUGUAUGCAUUUGAAGCAAUAUAUUACUCUCUAGGGACUGCUUUAGUUGCACUGCAAAAAUUUUGUUAUGCAAAACCUCUUAUCUUUAAUGUUCAGUUCAAAAAGUUUCUAUUUGCUGUGAUGGUUUUUUCUGUGACUCAUAGAUUAUUUAAAAGUGUAUUGCUUAAUUCACAAGUAGUUGGUGAUUUUAAAAUUCUCUAAGUAAGUAUUUCUAUCUUAAUUUUACUGUGAUCUGAGAAUACAAUGUGAAUAGUUAUAAUUCCUUGAACUUUACUGAGGUUGACUUUGCAACCCAUUAUAUGGUCAAUUUGGAGACAUGUUCAUGUACACUUGGCCAAUAAUAUGGUCCAUGCUGGGCGCAGUGUUCAAUGUGUCAAUUAAUUUAAGUUUGUCAUUUUGUUUUGGUUUUCUUUAUGUAUAUUUUUCCCGUUUGAUCUAUCUGCUGCUGUGAGAAGUGCGAAAUGUUCCUAUCAUUGUGAAUUUCUUUAUUUCUUCUUUUGGCUCUGUCAGUUUUGCUGUGUCUGUCUUGAAGCUAUAUACAGAUUCAGAAUUCUUAUUUCUUCCUGAUAAUUUGACCCCUUUUUCAUUAUGUAAAUGUUCCUUUUCUUUAGCAGUGUUAUUUUGCCUUAAACUCCACCUGAUAAGUAGUACAUGUAGCUAAACCAGUUUUCUUUUGGUUAAUAUGGACAUGGUACGCAUGUUCUAUCCUUGUAUUUUGUAUAUUUCUGUAUCUUUAUAAUAAUUAUAUGACUCUUGUAAGCAUAAAAUGUUGUUCAAAUUGCUUUUAUAUCUAAUCUGAUGAUCUCAGGGUUUUAAUUGAAAUAUUUAAUACAUUUGCAAUUAAACUAAGCAUGAAUAUACUUGAAGUUCAAUCAAUCUUCUUAGUAUUUGCUUUCUAUUUGAUUCAUCUAUUUAUUGUAUAUUCCUAUUUCUCUUCUUCUCUUGGCCUUUCUUUAGGUUAACUAUCCUUUAGAUUAUUCCCUUUAUCCCUCUAUUAAGUUGUUAUAUAUUUGUUACUAUUCUUUAGUGGUUACCCAGUGAUUAGAAUGUGGAUCCUUGAUCUAUUGUAGUCUAAAAUGACAGAAAAUCAUGAAUGUAAUAAUCACAAUUUGAGUAUCCCAAGGUCCUAGCUCUAUGAGGGAACUGGGAAAAGGAAUAGUUUGUACUAGAUUUGUAGUAAGUCAAGGAUGUGUGCAGUAACCAUUAAAAUGCUAAAAGGAAACACAUACUGUCCUAUAAUUCCAAGUCCAGCAAAAGUAACUUCAAAGAUGAAAGCAAAAUAAAAAUACCUCAGGUAAAAUCAAGAGCUAACUUAAUAUCGGUAUACCUGCACUAAACACCAAAGGGUGCUCUUUGGGCAGAAGAAAAUGAUCCAAGAUUACAAUAUGGAAAUGCAGGAUAGAAUGAACAGCCAAAGUUUCAUAUAAAUGUAGAACUGAAAUUCCUAAACACAAUACUGCAAAACACGGGGUGGGGGGGUGGCGGGUGGGCACACCCCCACCACUUAAAACAGAGAAUUUUAAGUUUCUCUGUUUAUGGGGAAGUAGAAUGCAAAUAAUUUAGCAUUUUAGCUCUCCAGGUCAUACAGCUUCAGAAUUCAGCAAAUGUCUUGAGCAGAGCAGUGCUUUCAGGAAAGGGUCAGAUAGUAAACACUCGAGGCUUUGCAGGCCAUGUGGUCUCUGCUGAAGUCCGCUGUUGCAGCAUGGAAGCAGACACGGACAAUCUGUAAAUGCAUUGACAUGGCUGUGUUCCAGCAUCACUGACUUGAAAUGCCAUGUUUGGUAGAUCUGGUUUGGUGUAUAUAUAGUGCUUAUAUCUGAGUGUGUCUAUUUCUGGAAUGCAAAACUGUGUCUUUGGACUAUUUGUUUAUAUCUCAGUUAUUAUGGCUUAAAAUUAAUCUUUAUAUCUGUUAGAUAAAAUCCUCCGACUUGUUCCUCAAAAUUGUCUGAGCUAUUCUUAACUUUUUGCUCUACCGUGUGUAUUUUAAGACCAGUUUUGCCAAGUUCCUAAAAAGCCCUGCAGGGCUUUUCAGGGGUAAUGGAAGUCUUGGUUGGGGUGAUGGUUACACCUGAUCUAGAUGUUUGUCAAAACUCAUCAUACUGCACACUUGAAAAUGGGUACAUUUGAUUUAAUGUAAGUUAAAUCUUAAUAAAAUUGAUUUUAG